ensembl:lncRNA
GUAUAAUCAAGUCAAAUAUUAUGAAGUUUCAAUAACAAUAUACACUACUAUACCAUUCAAAAGCUUGAUGUAAAUAAUAUAAAUGUACCAAUAAAUGUAACUGUAACAAAUGUAAUAAACAAUGCUGUUCUUUCAAUUUAUCCCCCCUAAAAAACCUGAAAAAAAUAUUCUCAGCUCUUUUCAACAUUAAUAAUAAUAAUAAUGAUAAUAAUAACACUAAAUGUUUUUUGUAGAAAAUAAGAUUGUUAAAAGGAUUUCUGAAGGAUUGUGUGACUGGAGUAAUGAUGCAAAAAAUUCAGUUUGAAAGUCAGCUUUGAUUGUUCCUAAUAAACUGUUUAACUGCACUCACAAGUGAAUAUUAAAUUAUGUUAUGGGAUAAUUAAAUAUAUUCUAAAUAAACUACAAACAUAAAAUUAUAUACAUUUAUUUUGUCCUCACAUUCUUUCUUGUAACUCACCCCUCUCAGUGACACAGCUGACUGAAUGGCUCAUUAUGCAGCUCAUUAUGCAGCGAGUAGGCGUCAACUAUCAUGAAUUCACACCUGAGAAGACAAAGACCUGCAUAAUGAGCUGCAUAAUGAGCCAUUCAGUCAGCUGUGCCACUGAGAGGGAUGAGUUACAAGAAAGAAUGUGAGGACAAAAUAAAUCUAUAUAAUUUUAUGUUUGUAGUUUAUUUAGAAUAUAUUUAAUUAUCCCACAACAUAAUUUAAUAUUCACUUGUGAGUGCAGUUAAACAGUUUAUUAGGAAAAAUCAAAGCUGACUUUCAAACUGAAUUUUUUGCAUCAUUACUCCAGUCACACAAUCCUUCAGAAAUCCUUUUAACAAUCUUAUUUUCUACAAAAAAACAUUUAUUGUUAUUAUUAUCAUCAUCAUUAUUAUUAUUAUUAUUAUUAUUAUUGUUAUUAUUAUUAUUAUUAUUAUUAUUAAUGUUGAAAAGAGCUGAGAAUUUUUUUUUUAGGUUUUUUUAGGGGGGAUAAAUUGAAAGAACAGCAAUGAUUGUUACAUUUGUUACAGUUACAUUUAUUGUUACAUUUAUAUUAUUUACAUCAAGCUUUUGAAUGGUAUAGUAGUGUAUACUGUUAUUGAAACUUCAUAAUAUUUCACUUGAUUAUACAUUUAGUCAGGAAUUAUAGUUUGGAAAAAAAGUCUUUGGAAAAAAAGUCUAACUAGUAAAAAUGUUUACACGUUAUGUGAAAACUAGUACAAGUAUAUAAAUAAAUAAAAAGAGACUUACUCAUGUUUAUGAACUCUGCUGAAUAAAGUGCUUCAUUAUUUUUUCUGAGGAAAUCCAAAUCUCAAAUCCUCAACCACAUCACAUCUUUUUUUGGGGUGAAUUAUGUCUUAUUCCUCUCAUCGCGAAGCAAACAGUAAAAAUAAUAAAAAAACUUGAAGAACAGUCUCGCUGCGUUGUCUUCUGUUGUGUGGGCGUAUUCAAAAGCCGCGCGCUUCAGUGAAACAUUUGAAUCUCAAAAGCGCGCUCGGCGCGGGGGCGUGGUCGCAUUAGAAGAUAAUGAAGGGAGACGUGAAAAACGGACAUCGCGUUGUUUUAAUAUGGAUUACUUUAUCACAGAAUAUUUGUUUUCAGCAGCACUGGUUUAGUUUAAAAGUAGACAUGUCAGGCUUUCUAUAGAUAUCUCUCUCAUGUCUCUUCGUUGAGUAUUCACUGAGUUACAGUUCAUUUUAAUGACGCAUUUGUAUCUGAAGAUCAGCGCAGACAAAGGCUGCAGACAGCACUCCUUGUUUGUUAUCUUUAUUUUAUAAAUGCACAAAGUUUUGUUGUUAUUAUGUCUGUAUACAAAAAAAAGUAGACCCUUUACAGAUUCGAUUGAUGUAUUGCACUUAUCUGUACGAUCGAAACUGAAAGUGUAAUUUAAGUUCUUUUCGGGGUUAUCAGGAGAAAAUACCCCAAAACGCGUAUACGCGUUAAUCGACUCCAGAGGGUUAAUUGUUAGGGCCUCGGCCCGGGGUUGAGCUGAAGGCUUGGAAUCAGGAAAGAUUCCUUUAAAGGGAUAUGGCUAAGAAAAUAGCAUUUUAUACUAAGUCUUGCCUGUCACACAGGGGCUACCGCUUGCUCUCACAAAAGCUUGCUGAAGGAGCUGUCUCAACAGAUCUCCAGUAGCAACACCCUGUUUAGAUAGGUAUCCGAGGAUACAAAGGUGGAGUGGCACCCAAGAUGAACGGGGCUUUUACCAACUCAAGAAAGGGCACAAAGCAACCGCGCGAAGCCCUCACCAUAUAGGAUUUUAGAAAGAACGCAGAAUACUAGCGUGCAAACUUAACACAGUGUAGAUUUCAGAAAGUGUGCAAAGACUUCACGUGCACACUUACCAUAGAAUGGAUUUUCAAAUACUGUUCUAAGGAGGGGCUCUCGUGGCACUCUGAUAGAGCAGCUCAUAGAUGGAAUGGUGCAUCUCAAAACAGUAUGUUUGAGAGUCAUAAAC